GACGAACGCUGGCGGCGUGCCUAAUACAUGCAAGUCGAACGCAGUGGGGACGGGUGAGUAACACGUGGGUAACCUCCCAUCAGAGGGGAUAACACUUGGAAACAGGUGCUAAACCGAUACGGAUUGAUGGACCCGCGGUGCAUUAGCCAGUUGGUGCGGUAACGGCUGACCAAGGCCACGAGGCCUAGCCGAGCUGAGAGGAGGAUCCGCCACACUGGGACUGAGACACGGCCCAGACUCCUACGGGAGGCAGCAGUAGGGAAUAUUGGGCAAUGGACGAAAGUCUGACCGAGCAAUGCCGCGUGAGUGAAGAAGGUUUUCGGGUUGUAAAGCUCUUUUGGUAGAGAGGCGUUAUCUAACCAGAAAGCCACGGCUAACUACGUGCCAGCAGCCGCGGUAAUAC
rnacentral:rRNA from 1 species